rnacentral:misc_RNA from 1 species
AACGCACCUUGCGCUCCUUGGCAUUCCGAGGAGCAUGCCCGUUUGAGAGUCUCGACAUCAUCGGAUGCCUUCUCCCUUGCGGGAGGAGAGCGUCUGGACUUGGAUGUGCUGCCGGGCGGCGACGCUCGGCUCGUCCGAAAUUCAUUAGCGAGAGAGACUCCGGCCCUCACUUGGCGUGAUAAGUCACCCGUCGAGAUGCCGGUGGUGGACUCCUGCUUCCAACCGUCCCACUUGGGACAACAGCCGGAUGGCCUGUCCGUCCGACGUUCUGACCUCAAAUCGGGUAGGACUACCCGCUGAACUUAA